rnacentral:rRNA from 1 species
UAGGCAAAUCCGCUUUGAUAAUGCUGGGAUGUGAUGGGGAGCGAAAUUUAGUAGCGAAGUAGCUGAUUUCACACUGUCAAGAAAAGUCUCUAUCGAGGUUAAAGGUACCCGUACCGCAAACCGACACAGGUGGGUGAGGAGAGUAUCCUAAGGCCAGCGAGAGAACUGUUGUUAAGGAACUCGGCAAAAUGACCCCGUAACUUAGGGAUAAGGGGUGCCACCAUCAGGUGGCCGCAGAGAAUAGGCCCAAGCGACUGUUUACCAAAAACAUAGGUUUCUGCUAAGUCGCAAGACGAUGUAUAGGAGCUGACGCCUGCCCGGUGCUGGAAGGUUAAGGGGAUCUGUUAGAGCAAUCGAAGCAGUGAACUUAAGCCCCAGUAAACGGCGGCCGUAACUAUAACGGUCCUAAGGUAGCGAAAUUCCUUGUCGGGUAAGUUCCGACCCGCACGAAAGGCGUAACGAUUUGGGCACUGUCUCAACAACAGACUCGGUGAAAUUGUAAUUCCGGUGAAGAUGCCGGAUACCUGCGACAGGACGGAAAGACCCCAUGGAGCUUUACUGUAGCUUGACAUUGGGUCUUGGUACUACAUGUACAGGAUAGGUGGGAGGCUUUGAAACCAGGACGCCAGUUUUGGCGGAGCCAUCCUUGGGAUACCACCCUUGUAGUACUGGGACUCUAACCAUAGGCCAUGAAUCUGGUCUUGGGACACUGUCAGGUGGGCAGUUUGACUGGGGCGGUCGCCUCCCAAAAGGUAACGGAGGCGCUCAAAGGUUCUCUCAGUACGGUCGGAAAUCGUACGUAGAGUGUAAAGGCAAAAGAGAGCUUGAUUGCAAGACAUACAGGUCGAGCAAGGAUGAAAAUCGGACUUAGUGAUCCGGUGGUUCUGCGUGGAAGGGCCAUCGCUCAACGGAUAAAAGCUACCCUGGGGAUAACAGGCUUAUCUCCCCCAAGAGUCCACAUCGACGGGGAGGUUUGGCACCUCGAUGUCGGCUCAUCACAUCCUGGGGCUGUAGUAGGUCCCAAGGGUUGGGCUGUUCGCCCAUUAAAGUGGUACGCGAGCUGGGUUCAGAACGUCGUGAGACAGUUCGGUCCCUAUCCGUCGCAGGCGUAGGAAAUUUGAGAAGACCUGUCCUUAGUACGAGAGGACCGGGAUGGACG